AUUGAACGCUGGCGGCAGGCCUAACACAUGCAAGUCGAACGGUAACAGGAAGCAGCUUGCUGCUUCGCUGACGAGUGGCGGACGGGUGAGUAAUGUCUGGGAAGCUGCCUGAUGGAGGGGGAUAACUACUGGAAACGGUAGCUAAUACCGCAUAAUGUCGCAAGACCAAAGAGGGGGACCUUCGGGCCUCUUGCCAUCGGAUGUGCCCAGAUGGGAUUAGCUUGUUGGUGGGGUAACGGCUCACCAAGGCGACGAUCCCUAGCUGGUCUGAGAGGAUGACCAGCCACACUGGAACUGAGACACGGUCCAGACUCCUACGGGAGGCAGCAGUGGGGAAUAUUGCACAAUGGGCGCAAGCCUGAUGCAGCCAUGCCGCGUGUAUGAAGCAGGCCUUCGGGUUGUAAAGUACUUUCAGCGGGGAGGAAGGGAGUAAAGUUAAUACCUUUGCUCAUUGACGUUACCCGCAGAAGAAGCACCGGCUAACUCCGUG
rnacentral:rRNA from 1 species